rnacentral:lncRNA from 1 species
UUCUAAGGAGGAAAUACGACUAAUCUCUGCCGCUUGCGCCCGGGUGCUCUCCGCCACGAGCCUUGGUGACAUGCUCUGCUCGCUGAAGGUUCGAGCAUUCCUUGCCAGCUAUAUCUGGUAUGCUGUGCAGGUCGCUCUAACCGCCUCUUGGCGUGUCAAUGGGUUGCCCGACCACCAACGGACGGUCCGUAAGAACUGGUCCCCUUGAGACCAACCCUCCCGUAGCAACCAUGCCGCCCUCGCCCAUGUGCAUUGAAAUAGUGCAUGGUUCACCGACUCAUUGGCUUUGCAUGCCCUGCACUCAGGGGGCAUCCUCAAUCCCCGUUCGCUAAG